rnacentral:rRNA from 1 species
GACGAACCGUGCGAACGUUGUUCGGAAUCACUGGGCUUAAAGGGCGCGUAGGCGGGCCGGCCAGUCUGUGGUGAAAGCCCCCAGCUCAACUGGGGAAGUGCCGUGGAUACUGCCGGCCUGGAGGAGGGUAGGGGCAUCUGGAACGCUGGGUGGAGCGGUGAAAUGCGUUGAUAUCCAGCGGAACUCCGGUGGCGAAGGCGAGGUGCUGGACCCUUUCUGACGCUGAGUGCGCGAAAGCCAGGGGAGCAAACGGG